GAUGAAUUCAUGGCGAGGGCGGUGAGCAAAUGAAGAAAUUUGAUGUCCUCUCAAUAAAUCCAGCACAAUGAGACAGCUGUUGGAAAGCUAACAGAGCUCCAGUCAGCCUGGAGGGACGGUCAGGAUGGACGGCUGCUGGAACGAGGUCCAGGUUCUCCUGCUAUUGUGGACCCAUGGGGAUUCUGGGAGACAGGGUGUGUGAAGAUUAUUUGGCUACCUAUUUAAGAUGAGAAAGAGUUCUGCGAGGUCAAAUCCGCUUUAUUGGAUGAAUUUGCAGCAGUACAGUGGUGCUCUUUUUAAUAAGAAGAUUGACGAGUCCUACCCAGGGAGAAAGAGAUGUGGCACAGCAGUUUAAGGAGAUGUCGUAGCAGAAACCAAGCCGAGCAGAGAGGACCAGCCGGUGGAUGGAAGCUGAAGCUCCACAGCACAGCACACCUCACAGAUCGGCCAUCUGAAGAGGAGAGCUCUCCCCGGCCCCCAGCUCAGGAGACGCCCUGGAGCCUCAGGACCUGGAAACCCCAGCCCAAGGGGAGCUGGCCCUGAGAUCCCAGAGCAAUCCCCUUCGCUCCGCCUUAACCUUCUGCCUCACUAGGUCCAGGUCAGCUAAUCGGAAGCCUGUCUACUUCAACACAUACCAGAUGUGCUUCAUCGACACGGCAAUCUGCUCUGUCCUCUGGACUGGAAAAGAAAAGCCCUCCGAAGUUGUCCUGCUCGAGGGGCAGCUCUACUCUUUUCUCUCCUAAUGUUCACCCCUCCCCGAUUCUCG
rnacentral:lncRNA from 1 species